GUGGUCGCUUCAGCAGCACAUAUACUAAAAAUUGGAACGAUGCAGAGAUUAGCAUGUCCCCUGCGCAAGGAUGACACUCAAAUUUGUGCAGCAUUCCAUAUUAAA